rfam:Lactobacillus plantarum bacteriophage LP65, complete genome.
GGCCUAGUAUUCCAAUUGGCAGAGAAGUUAGACUCAAAAUCUAUACAGUGUAGGUUCGAUUCCUACCUAGGCCA